GAUAACCUCAAUGGCUGCUAAGUGACUAAUGGGUAUCCAGUGUGGAAACUCUGGACAGUGUUGAUUCACAUCCUAGGAGGGAUGGACAAGGAUGACUAAGAUGGAGAAAACAGCUGGGACAGUUUCAAAGCAAGGCCCCACGAGUCCUCUUUGCAAAGCUGAAAUUGAAGAAAAACGUCUCUGACUCCACCGCUCAGCUCUCUGCACUGUGACAGUAGUGAGGACAAACAGAAAAAGG